rnacentral:RNase_P_RNA from 1 species
AAGGUUUUGCGGAUGAUUGCUCUGCCGAAAGGCAGGGAGGAAAGUCCGGACUUCAUUGAGCAGUGCAAAGGGUAACGCCCUUCCGUCGUAAGGCGAGGAACAGUGGAACAGAGAGAAUGUCCAGAGCUUUGAUCUAAUUGACGGGAACGGGAGUCUUUUAGGGAGCUGCUGGAGUGAAAACAGCUAAACUCUGCACGAAGCAAGAUCAAAUAGGGAAGCGCUAAGUUCGGCUCUGACGAGCUUCCGGGUAAGAUCGCUCGAGGGAAAUGGAGACAUUUCUCCCAGAUAAAUAGUCAUACAUGAGAGUGAGUUUAGGGACUCAGUUUCAAGACAGAAUCCGGCUUAUAGCAAAACCAAUUUC